UAGACAUUUACAUGCUGAGAUAUCCCGGACCGAUGGAGUGUCCCCAUCUUGCUGUGGCCCUCCCUGCCACCUUCACCACAACAGCAGAUGCCUGCAGGUGCUCCAGCUGCAAGGUUUCCGUGGCGCUGCAGCCGCGACCUUGGGUCUUUAUUGGCUCUCCGAAUGGACCCUUUAUAGACUCCAGAUGGAAAGUAUAAAAUUAAUAACCCCUGGCUGGCAAACACCCAUAUGUUUUCCACCUUCUCCUGAGAUACAAUUUGUUUAUGGUGACAUUUAUUUAAUGCAAAUUAACAUAUAAAUGAAGAUGCAUGGCUCUUCCCAGAGACCUGAGGAAACUGGUUUGUGUGGUGCUAGAGGUGCACGGCCACAUCAACCACCCACCAGAAAGGCUCCUUUGGAAUUACCUGGAGCCUUUUUGAUUCUCUCCAGCCAGGAGGAAUUCCACCAGCCUCCCUCCAGGCCCAUUUUCUUUAACAAUAUAUUCCAGGCUGACCCUGGAGGUGCUAAUUGCUCUUUAUCUAAGACAACUGUUUCUCCCACCCCACCAGUGCUUUUGGUGGUCGAAGGAAUACAAUGCAUUAUCAGGAAACGAGAUACAUGUGUACAAAGGGUAUUGACUGGCGGGAGGUUAAAGAUACAGCACAAAGAGAGGCAGCCUUACAGGGGUACCCUGUUAACUAGUGAUGGAUGAGCCACUGGAAGAAGAAAGCUCUCCAAGGUUGGGCUGAUAAGACCCCAGCCACUUGGUGCCUCCCCAAGGUGCCACGACCAGGACCAACCUCUACACCUAUCCCUGGCUCCGGCCUCCUUCUCCUCCUUUUCUUCCUCCUCCUCCCAGCAGACAACCCAGGACAGGCCAAACUUGGCACGGAAAACCCUUCCACAAAGCCACCCCUGCGUCCCGUUUGUCCGCCAACGACCUUAGUUAAACCGGCGCAAGUUUCUUAAUUCCACGCCAGCCUAAGCCUUUAAAAACUGUUGACUUUCCAGAAAAGCAGGAAGUGGGUAAACACAGCGAUUGGCUGCUCUUCCUGCUGACCACAUGUCACCAGAAUGCAGGGGAAAAAAAAAAAUUCUAUUAGGCUUUUAUUUAACAUGAAUUUGAAUGUAUUCCAGGUCACUGAUCACAUAAGCGAUCACGAUACGGGUAAUAAAGAAGUUCCUACCAUACCUUUAUUUGCUUUCUCCCUGUAAUAAAUCUUUAUCACACACUGGGCUGAUUGCAACAGUAUCACUUCCUUUUUUUUUUUAUUUUUUUUUUCCCUCCUGUUUUAUAGGGCAGCAAAAAGCCAACUGGGCCCAUCUGCAAGCACACCCAAUGGCGCUGGGAUGGGAUGGCAAACAAAAGGCAGCCAGGGCAGCCACACUGCUGCCUUGAAGAACCAAGGGUUGACUUCCCUGGGUGCAGACCCCAACCUUCACAUGCUGCAAAACCCCAUGCAUGAUCCUUUGUGACUGCAGGAAAAGGGGGAAUCGUAGCGUGGCACUGAGGGACGUGGUUAGUUGGAUAGUGGGUGCAGUGUGGACGGGUUGAUGGUUGGACUUGGGGAUCCUUGUGGUCUUUUCCAACCUGCGUGAUUCCAUGACUGUGUCAUAGUAGGAAAUAUCAACCUGUGUGCUUUCUUAGUAAGUGAUCAUUAAGACGGUUUAAUAAACGAUCCAAGUGACAGCCCUAUGCUAGAACAGCCUCGAAUCAAACCAUUCUGCACAGGGAAGAAUUUUUGCUCCCUGUAAACCAAAAGUAAUGGGUCAAAGGGAAAUGAAUCCUGAGCAGUUCCCUGCACUUCUGAGCAUUUGGUGUUCUGGACCCCAUUCUCCCUCGUACCCUCAUGCUUAAUCCUCCUCAUUUGAAUGAUUUGCAUCCAAAUCUCUCCAUUUUUGUCCUUUCAUUCUCGAGCACACGAUGUUAGUUCCCGCUAAUACAAGGGCAUCAAUCGCCUUCAUCUUCUCCUAUUUAAUGAUAUUUAUUCAUCAUCGCAUGGGAGAGAAAUUGGCUGCAGCUCAAUUUGGCAAAAUAAAUUGGGACCAGUUCAAGCGUAAUCUCGCUAAACACACAGAUUUUAAUCCCCCCCCCCAAGUGAAGCACACUGCAUCUGCAAUGGAUGUCCUUGGUUCAAGAUCCAGAUGCUGAUUUCAAACUCCAGAAUCUCCCACUGCUUGCAGAGCUCACUUUGUGAGGACCAGGGACUACGUAAAUUCAGAACAGCUCCAGCACAGCUUUGCUCCUGUUGUCCUUAAUUGCUUGAAUACUGAGCAGGUUGAUAUUGUGAUUAUUUGUAGACAUUUAUACCAUCCCAGGCCUUCUUCUUUAUAACUUUAUUUCAUUUUCUGCUGUUUACUCACAACUACCUUUAUCACCGCACGCUGAUAGUCUGUUCUUUAUUGCCCCGGUGUGAUUGCAAGGAGUUUGAGCACAACCCAAUAACACACAUAUAUAAAUAUUUGAACAGGAAAAGAAAGUCUGUCUCAUUCAGGCUAUGGAAGGAGGGAAAAAUGAAAACAAAUAAUACCGCUAGAGGGACCUUCACACUGAACCACGGUGGAGGAGAGGUCACACACAGCCUCCACGAGUGGCACCGAUGGGACCCGCGGUGUCGGCAUGGAGCUUGCAAGCAGCAGCACCGCAUGCAUGCAGGGCUCGUUGUUUGCCGAGGAUCACCCGAAUAAUUCCACUUGAGCACAACAAACGUGUUUUGUUUUUGCAGUUAAAGAGCUGAGUCCUUUUAAUUAGUUGACUCGGGCCUUUCUGCAUGCGGUCCCCACGCACUGUGGCUGGUUCAAAGAGGAGCCUCUCUGUGUGUUUUCGCUUUUCUUCUCUUUUCUUUCUCCCCUUUAACACUGCGUGUGAAUAGUUGAAGACGGGAGCGAAAGACAUUGGACUUAGAAAGUAAAAUCUCCAGGAAGCAAAAAUGGAGGCAAACACAGGAGCUAAUUUAGGCAGGCAUAGCUGGUGUUGUUUGUGGUUGUCCCUGACAGCGCUGCUGACUCUAAAGCACCUGUGUUUGCUCACUAGCUUUCCCCAAUCUGCUAGAAAAUGGCCCUAGCAUGUCACAUGGCAGCGAGAUAGUCCGAGCGCCAUGGGAAUAAAAAAGCCUGAGCUUUUAACGGAGUUAAUCAUUAAUGCGCCUUUUCUUUGUCCCAUUCAGGAGUGCUGACAAGCGCUUUGAUAUUUCAUAUUUGCCAUCAGGUCAGCGGCAGUCAUACCCAGGUACUAAUGAGCGCCCUGGCUCACGCCUCCCUGUUUCAUGGCCCGCCUGAAGAUUUCGUCCCACUUGCCCUCAACCACAGCUACACGCAUAUAUAUCCCUGUCUAUAUGUGUGUGCAUGUCCCUGCUUCCAUGUCUGAAUGCAUCCCUGCAUAUAUGCACAUAGGCAUCCCUGUGUGCACACCCGAGCAACACCCAUGGGUGCAGCGCAUGCUCAGGAGAUCCCAGUUCAGGCACUUUUAUCCCCUCCUGUAGACAAAACCCAGGGCUCCCAGCUCCAGAUCCAAGCCCUGUGCUCCAUAUUGGGCAUCUCAAUGCAAUGCUUUGUAUCCACGAGCAGCUGUCAAUGCGUGCGCGCACUUCGGGGUUGAGCAAAUAAUCCCCAGUGAAUAAUGUAUGUGCGGGGAGGAAUGCAGGCUGCACUACUCGCCCCCAGUCCUGGCUGCCAGCAGCGUGUUUUCUGCAUCGUGCUUCUUCUCCCAGUUUGUUUGCCCUGAUGCACCCAGGUUUCCCUGUUCAUUGCAGGGGAAUUAGACUAGGUGACCUUUGAAGGUUUCUUCCAACUCCAACAAUUCUAUGAUUCUUUGGUUCUAUGGUUCUGAUUCCAUGAUUCUAUGGGUCUGUGAGCCUAUGGUUCUACGAUUCCAUGAUUCUAUGAUUCUACGGUUCUAUGAUUCUAUGAUUCUAGGGGUCUAUGAAUCCAUGAUUCUAGGGGUCUAUGAUUCUGUGGGUCUAUGAUUCUGUGGAUCUAUGAUUCCAUGAUUCCAGGGGUCUAUGUUACUAUGAUCCUAUGAUGCCACGAUUCUAUGAUUCUAUGUGUCCAUGGUUCUAUGACUCUAGAUGCACUGCUUGGGAACCAGUUGUAUGAAGGCAUGAUUACAAAGGAGACUGAGAAUGCUCGUCCUCCCUAAGAGCAGCAAGGCACUGCUAUUCUGUUGUCUGGCUUGGCCAAUAAAUGCAGUUGUUUGUGCCAGCACUGAGUAGAAAAACCUAUCCCUCAGCGUAAAGGCCAGGCAGGUCAGCAGGCCUCCAUAAAGCUGCUGUGCAAAGAUGAUUUGUGCUGGCUUCAACGAGAAUCACAGUCAAACUUCAAGGUGCUUGAACCUUUCCCUUGACUCGGGCAGAGACUGACAGCACAUUUCACUCCUCCUCGCCGGGGUUGGAUGCUGACAGAAUUGCAUCAGUGAGCUCACCGAGGGGACCUCCUGUCUGUGUUCAUGUAGUGUGGGGAGGAAAACAUGGCUGGAGCUGCCGAUGCUGCCAGCACAGCAGGGAGGUGCAGCCAGGCAUCGCAGAAGGUUGCACAAACCUGGGCUUCCUUCAGCAUCCCUCUGGGUUGGAAGUGUGUGCAGCGUGAAAUUAAUGAGCUAUUCAUAGAACCAUCAUAGAGUCAUAGAAUCAUGAAGGUGGAAAAGAUAACCGAGUCCAACCACAGCUCACCCCCACCGUGCCCACUGACCACGUCCUGCAGUGCCACAUCCCCACAGCUUUGGGAUGCCUCCAGGGACGGUGACCCCACCACUCCCUGGGCAGCUGUGCCACUGCCUCACCGCUCUUUCAGGAAAUAAACUGUUCCUAUCAGCCAACCUGAAUUCAGCCCUAAGCUUUUCAGUCUCCUUUUGCUGAGAUAUGGUGACUGAGCCACUUGGCUCCAUACUCCUCUUAGAUUAAAGAGGGAACUGCCAAAAAUGUCACAGAUUUCAGAGGCCGGCUAGUGGUGACUCACCCAGAUAACGCUCUCAAGGACGUAUAGGGAGCCCGGAACCGUAGUAUCAUGCGACAGAGCCACAUCUGGAGAAAUGGCCAAGGUCACCCCACCACUGGCUCGGGCCCCCACAGUGCCAGGUGAGGAAAAUCCUGCUCCGUAAAACUCACACUGGACAGAGAGGCAGAAGGGGAAGCGGGAGAAGGUUCGACCCCGGUUUGCACACAGAGAUAGGCCAGGAUUAGUCCCUUUAGUCUCUUUUAGCUCAUGCUGGCCACAAAGCUCUAAUCUAAGAGGAGAACUCCUGAGGCUGUGAUUGGACCUGGAAGUCAAUUUGCUGCGAGCAUCCUAUGCAGAGUUGAAGCCAGCCAAAAAGGAAGCCUUCCUGGAAAAAUAACAAAGGUACUUUCAGCCACAGAAAUCCCCAUCUCGAAUCCAAACAGGGAAGCCUCUGUCUGCUGCCAGUGUAGGCAGGGUUUCCGACUGCCUGUUAUUGGACAUAGCAGAAGAGUUAGCUUAGGCAGAGGAAGGGGAAGGGGCCGCUUCUCCCUUGCUGGGGUGGAAAUCCUCUUCUUUCUGGGUGCCCUCUGCGAGCUCAAGUCCUGCACGUCCCAGUGCCCGUGGUCUGCACAGAGGCAGCUGGCUGCCAAGCAGAGCCAGGACACGCCAUGCAGACACCGCCCGGAAUGUGUGGCAUGGAAAAGCCUUGUCAGAGCUUUGGCUCGGGGAAUCAGCAGGCUGCCUGCCUGCACUGCCCUGCUGCAGCCUCACGGUGCCUGGAUGCAUGCACUGUGCUUUGCAGUGGCUUUUCCAGGGCAUGGAGCAGGGAAAUUGGCGAGGACAAGGUGUGAGGAGAAGCAGUCCCGCGUCCCACACCACCCUGUGCCGACCCCCAUGUCCCUCCUUACCCCUAGAAUGCUCACGGUGCAUAAAGAUGGGAGAGACUUGAUUCCCAGGACUGCCCUAUGUUCUUCUGUGGGUGCUCGGCCGUGUCCCUCACCCCACAGUGCAGGCUGGCUCCUGCUGCACAAACACAGCCGAGCAAGAUAAGCGCUGUGUGCACAGCACUCAGCCAGGAAUUCAGGGCCUGCGCUGGCCCCAGCUGCCAUCCUGAUGGCAAACCACACCAGGUUCCCCCCCUGCACCCCUCUGUGCCAUGGGGGCAGCUUCUCAACCUGCUUUGCUUGGACACCGUGGGGAUGCUGCAGCAGGGAUGCUGCCAGGGCACAUGCAGACGCUGCACAUAGAUGUGCAGGGAUGCUGCAGGAGGGAUGCUUCAUCUGGGAUGCAAAAGGAUGUUGCAGCAGGGAUUUGCAGAGGUGCUGCAGCAGGGACGCACAGAGAUGUGCAGAGUUGCACACGGAUUCUGUGGUAGAGGUGUGCAGGGAUGCACAGGGAUUCACAGGGAUGCUGCAGUAGGGAUGUGCAGGGAUGCAAAGGGAUGCACUGCUGCAGGGGAGUGCACGAAUUUGUGGGGAUGCUGCAACAGGGUUGCACUGGGAUGCUGCAGCACGGAUGCACAGAGAUGCACAGGGAUUCACAGGGACACUGUAGUAGGGAUGUGCAGGGAUGCACAGGGAUUCUCGGGGAUGCUGUAAUAGGGAUGUGUAGAGACGCACUGCAGCAGGGAUGCUGCAGCAGAAGGGCACAGGGAUGCUACACCAAGCCACUGUCCUUGGUGAUGCGAGGCAUGCUGGAUAUGGAAAGUAUGUCCUCCCAAAAAGAGCGUGAGGCCUGUGGCAAGAGAUCUGCCAGGAUGUGUUUGCACUGUGACAUGGGUGCAUGUAGCAAGGAUGAGUCAUGGUGGCAGUGGAGCUUGGCAAACACGGAGCCCAGCUUGCCCAGCAGGGGCAGAAAUACCUCCUCUCCACCCCAGCAGAGGACUCGUGGUAAUAAAAGCAGGUUUUAAAAUUAAUAUAGUGAUACCUCGGAGAUUAAUCUUGCUGAUAAGCAGACAGCAGCAGGACUGAAUAGGCCCGUGGUUCAAACAAAGGUUUCUGUUGAGUAGGAACAGGUAAAAGACGGAUGGUUUGUUAAACAUUGCCAGCAUACUUUGCUAGUGCCAUUCACCGGUCACAGCUAAUGGUAACAGGGGCAUUGUGCAGCAGAUGCAUUUGCUAAUUUCGGCCAACUUAAACGCUAUUCCUUAUCUUUGUUGGUCUUGCUGAGAUUAAGGCGGUUUCAGUAUGCUGAAUGCACUACACUCCUGCAUGAAAAACAUUCCUGACAGUCUCAAGGAGUAAAAAAACACUGGCUGUCAGCGAGCAGAGCAGGGCCGGGAGGUCUGCUGACACAGGGCUGGGUCCAAGGCCCACUCCAGCUCUGCGUUGGGCAAUGCAGACUUCGUCCCAGCUUUGUGCUAAAGGCAGAUAAGCUGCCGCACAGUCUGGGCUCAGCACCCAGCAGUAUGUUGGCAUGUGAUGGGUGUUGGACACAGUGUGUGCCAUGCUGCUGCAGAGCCCAUUUGCUGGCUGGGCAGCCUGGUGUCACCGGGUGUCUGCCUCCACACAGCCCUCCCUUCCUAACCCUUGAACUCCUCGCCCGUUUCAAUCAGCUUUGCCAAGACAAUAGGCGUCUCGGAGCUCAUUAAGUGCUUAGGGGGGGUUUGUGGACAUAGGCAUCUGUGCAAAGGGCAGGGGCUGGUGGGGGGGGGGGGGGCUGCGGGUAGGAUCACCCCACCUGGGGAUCCUCCACAGAACAAAACCCGGGCAAGAAGCCACUUCCUUCCCCCAAAUCCUAGCUCCAGCCCAAUGGACAGCUGCAGGAUCCUCCCUUGCCCAUGCCCAUUGCAUCCUCUCUCCCUUCCCCAUCCCACUCCAUCCUCCUUGGGUAGCCAGGAUAGCUAAGGGGAAUACCUAAUAGCAUUAUAACCCAUUUUAUUAUUCUCAUUGGUAUUUUAACAGCGCUGAGUCACACGGGGGGAUUAGGACAGCUCCGAGAAGAUGCAAUACCCUGCAGGGACCGGCAGGGCUCUGCAGCUCCGAGUGGGGCCGGGAGCCAGAGAAACUCUGGGUUAACGUGGGGCCCUGACCCUACCCCCCACCUUAACCCUCAACUUCACAUGAGCUCAGCACGGGCAUCCUGCACGCAUGGCAUGGAGGCAGCCAGCUGUCUGAAAACCUCAAGAGAAGGUUUCUUUCUUCCCCAGAGUGGAUGUUGGUGAUAUGAUUAUUAUUACUAUUAUUACUAUUAGGUAUUGAACCCUCUGCCCAGAAAAGCCAGGCACUACUGCAGCCUGAACCCAACGCAGCGCCGUGCUGGCACCAUAUCCCUGCCAGUGGCGUUAUGUUCCCUUUGACAAAAAUGAACCAGGAGAAUUCCCUUGCCAAAUAUUGUUCUGGUAACCGUAACUCUGAGUCUUGCCAGGUUACAGAGCUCCUGUUAUGGAGCUCCUCCAGGCUGCAGCCAGUGCUAUUGUUAUUGUGAAGCACCUCUGCGCUGUUCAGGCUUUGAAGUAGGUGAGGCGGUCUCCGCUCUUUCCUCUUUUUUUUUUUUUUUCUUUUUUCCCUUUUUCCCCCAAGCCUCAGCUCUAUGAUUUAGGCUGGAAGCAGAUUGUUCAAGAGCGCCAGGGGAAAUCUGGCAGGCGCUGACCGACCCCGCAAGAAUUUAUUACCAACCCUUUUAGCUGCCGCCUCUGCCUUUGUUACCCAGCCCUUGGCAGGGGGGGUCCAUCCAUCUGCAGCGUCCAACACUGCAUUCACUGCUCACCAGGUGAGCUCCCGGGACAACCAUCCCUCACCAUCCCACUCCAGGACAUCCUCUGGGACUGUUAUCCAAAUGAACCGGCGAGGAUUUAAAAUGCCACCUGAGUUAAAAGGACCUGAUUAAAACUGUACCCUCAUCACACUUCUUAAACAGCCGGUUGCAUUGCCGUAUUUACAUUAGUGUCAACUUUAAUUUAAAUCCCGCAUAACGAUAUUUGCUCCCCUAAAUUCAUUCGCCGGGAGCGCGGCACAAAUUACUCGGAGCUGACUGCACUUUCCCUUUGUCUGCGUCGCAGCGUUUUGGAAAUGAAGGCUGAGCACCUCGUUAGGGUCUCAUUAAGCAGCCCAAUGCCGGGCGCUGGGCUGGAGAUUGGGGCUGGAUUGGGGCGUUGCGGUGUCGGCCAGGUGCUGGCAUGGCAGGGACACGUGGGGUCAGCUCUGCAGACAAUGGGAGCCCUCCUGCUCUCCUGACCACCCAGUAGGGGAGAAGGGGGAAAAGAGACAAAAAAAAAAGCCCACAAUGAAAUACCCGGAGGUUUCUCAGGUUUUUGUGACAGCAGUGUUUAAACUCGGUGCUUCCUGCAGGUGUGCUCUUUGACGACGAGUGCUCCGUGUGAUCUCAGCCAGGCAGGCGUUUUCUUUAGUCCUCGGCGCUUUGCCUUUUCACCUCGUCAAACCCUUUCAAGCUAAACAAACCUUGUUCCAGCCUUGCUCACCGAAUCCCAGCCUGGGGCGGCACGAAGCGGUGUAGCAUCACGGUUGGAGCUGGCGUUUGGGUCGGAGCAGCAUAGCACCACCUGGGCAAUGGGCAACGGAGGCAGGAAGGGGGCAAGGGGAGGGCAGGGGUCAGCAGCCUGGCUGUGGGGAGGUGGCACUGAAUGCGGGGGUUGCUGGAUGUGCCGCUGCCCGGUGUCACCUUGUCCUCGAGCUCCGCAGGGACGCGGCUCCGCGCGGCACCAGAUUUGCGUGGCUAAGUCGACGGCCGUGCAGCUGUGCUCUUAUCUGGUCAGAGGAAGAGGAUGAACAACAAAAGGGCCUAAGAAGCCCGGUUGAUGCAUGGGAAAGCCAUUGGUUGAGCAUUGUGGCUGCCCUUCUGCUGAGCAAAUAGUUCAAACUGUUCAUUCCCAUCUUCUAUUCUCUCUCCGGUACAUUGUUUGUGUCCUUGCAUUUCAUUCUGCAAGGAAGAUUGCUCUCUGGGCCUAUAAGCAAACAGUCCAGAAAAGAGCCAACUAUCCUCUCCUUUUCCCUGGAGAACUAGCAUUUUUAUUUCAGCUCCAAGCUGUCAAAGAGCUGGAGAGUUUAUGUCAGUAUCCUGAAUUAAUUGCUUUAAGCUGGAGCAGCCUAGAUGAGCCACCAAAUGUCCAGAAGAUGUUUAUUAAUAACGUUUCCUGCCGGUUUUGUUCCGAGCUGCGCUCUCCCGUCCAGUGCCCUCCAUUCACUGCCUUGGGGUGGCGAAGCCAAAGCUGCUUACGGGGAAUUAGAGCCCGCUGCCAGGCUUUGUCACCAUCCCCGUGCCCAGCGCCGGGAGCUCUGGUUGGGGUGGUUUGAUGCUGGGAGCAGGAGGAGGAGGGAGACGGAUUGCUGCUGGUGGGGCCCUUGUUUAAACACAAAUAUCUUCGGUAAUUAGCAAAAGUGGCGAGGAAAUUACCGAUGGAAAGAGAGAAACCACACGGAAGGUAAAUGGUUCUGUGUUUAAACAUGAUAUAUUUUAAAGUGUUCCCCAGCGUGAAAGUCGCUGUUUAAGGGAAUGAAGUAAUAAACCAAUUUAUAUACCAAUAGAAAGUGGAGAUCCUGAGUGCCUUUGUGUAAAUUUUCCACUUGACUUUUCAUUAUCUACCUGAACAAAAUCAAUCUAUAUGUAUGGGAUCAACGCGCAAUAUGAGAGAUAAAAGACGAAAUAAAUGCGCUUUGCAUAUCCCGCGGAUAAAAGCCACGGGGCUCCAGCCUCCCUGCCAGGCAGAUGCAUUUUAUAAAAUAAAUCAUUUUGCCGAGGAAAAAGAGAGCAGAGAGGAGCAUUACUUCUUAAGUGUUUACUCCCUAGCUUGAAAUAUCGAUCCUGUCAAACGAACGGUGGUUAAUAAGUAACUCGGGGGAAAUGUGCUGCUCCGUGCAGCACAGCGCUGCCGCGGCAGGGGAUGCGCUGGGGCCGCUACCUGGGGCAGCACAAAAAGCAGAGCUAGAGGCAGAAAGAAGCGAGCAGGAUGCCUCUCCCUCGGCCCCCUGCCUGGAGAUGGGCUUUGGGGUAGAGCAGCCCUCCCAGCCUCGGGGAUCCCUCUCUUUUCUCCCUUCAGGGCUAGGUGAACAGGCAGGAUCCCCUUGUGAGUUUUUUCCCUCGCUAGCAGGAUACAGGAAAGCUUAAGAGGCACUUUAGAAGCCGCAGCCCCACCUGGGCACGGCGGAUUCCUAUUCCCCAUGAAACUCCAGCCCUGGUGUAUUCCUGCCCCCAAGGACCCAGAUCCGGCCCCAUGCAGGGCAGCGCCUGCCUCCUCCAGCAUCGCUACUGCCGUACCCACACCAUUCGGCCACGAGGGAUCUGGUGGGGUCAGCGGGGUAUGGGUAUGGCAUUGGUGUUUGCCAAUUGCCAGAGCCACCUCUGUGCUGGCACUGCUGUGACUGGCACAAAUACUUCUAUUUUCCGAGAGAAACAGUAAGGCCACAGAGCUCCAUCCACUGCAAUAUAAAGAAAAUAAAUCAACUUGAAAAAAUUGAUUUGAGGAAGCUCCCGCUUUGUUUCCUGUUUCUAUUUUUUCUUCUUUUCUCCUAAAAUUCCAGGCAGGAGGGAAGAAGUGGGGCAGAGAGUGGGCACAAAGAGAAACACAGGGAUGAGCUGAUUGCUUCCCAAAGCCAAGAGUUAGCAGGGAUGCUCCUGAGGAACGUGCCUGCUGUUGGCUCAACAUCUGCAGCCAGUUUAUUAGUUUGCUAAUGACGCCUCAGAUUGGACCCGGAGGGAACAGAAAGUCCUGGCAACCUCUUGCAGUAUCAGCCUCACCUUCUGCCCCGUCCCACUGCCACCCUGAAGCAGAGCUGCUGCUUUCAGCCCCCCAUCUCCAGUCUGUAAUUUUGCAGUAGUGCAGAGCAACAGCAAAGGGAGGGAUGUGCUGGAGGACCAGAGCGCCGUAGCAUGGCUCAGUGCUGGAUGGCAAUUGCUGGGGUCCUGCAGGGUGGGAUGAGUGUUCACCCUUAGGAUGGCACGGAUGUGCAUCCCUCAGAAAGCUCCACAAAUUCAUUCAUUCUUCAGCUUUCCCGGAGUGUUUUAACGAUUUAUUUUUUCCUAAAAGGAUCCAUCCCGGAGAAGCAUCUUCUCAAAUAUCCUCGAGGCAGAGAUAGCACUUCUGUCCGCUCCCGAGUCUACUGAAGCGUAACGCAGGUAUUGCACACAAGUACAGACACAAAGAGGCAAUCAGAGAUGGGGAUCUGGGGUUUCAUAGGGGAUGCACACACGGCAGCAGCACGCUCAGCACAGCUCAGAGGUUGGCCCCAUCCGUCCUUGACACUGAUCCCCCGUGCUGUUAUUAAAAUAAAGAAAGGGCAGUGAAGGUGAGUGCAAGUGCACACACCACCGGCUGCUUCCCCACCGUGCAGAGGGCUGCAAAUCAUCUCAGGGUCCCCAAUCUCCUUCAGCGUUGCUGCUGUCGGUGGUGGGGUGGGAAGGGAAAUCCCUGCUGGGCACUAGGGUGGGAAGGGGAAUCACUGCUGGGCACUGCAGUAGCUAUCUGCUUUCUGCUUUCCAGCCAGGCAAGGGAGAGCCUCGAUCUCUGUAUUGCUUGUGCAACGGUGUGAGUUUAAAACCUGUCGGAACAUGGUCCUGCCCCAGCUGUUCUUGCACUGACCGUGCAGGCAGAUGGCUGGCAGCAGCAAAGCUCCGGCUGCAGAAAUCCGUAAGGUAAAUCGCACGUCGAGGGCUUUCUUGCCGCCUGCUUUGCAAAGAGCAGGGCCCGUUCGGGUGAAAGCAGGAAGGCGUUCUGAACUCCCGGCCCUGGCAAGUGGGAGCUGAGCCGGUGUCCCCCCCCCCGCCCUCGCCCAUCCCCGGGGCUACCUGCAAGUUGCCGGCCUCGCCCGGCUGCUCCGCCCGGUCCCUGCCCUGUCCGGCACGGGGGGAGGUCAGAGCUGGGGGUGGAAGGGUAAAAAAUGGGGAGGGAAAAAGGGGAGGGAGAAGAGGGGAAAGGGGAAAAAGUUGGGGGGAAGGGGGGAAAAUAAAGAAUAAAUAGGAAAGGAGUGAGAAAUGGAAGGAAUGGAGGAAAAAAAGGGGGGGAGGGGAAAGGAAAGAGGGAAUGAAAGGAAAAGCGUGGCGAAGAAAUGGAGGAAAAAAGGAGAGAGAAAGAAAGGAAAAGAAAAUGAAAGAAAGGAAAAUAAAGGGGAGAAAAGAGGGGAGGGGCAAGGAAGAAAUAAAAGAACAACAGAUGAUAAGAGAGACAGAAAAGGAAAGCAUGAAAAAGAAAAGGGAAAAGCAUUCCCAGUGACAGAAGCGCUGCCCGCCCCGUUCGCUGCCCCGCGCUGCCCCAGGCGGGCAGCAGCCCCCGGCCCACACUCCUGCCUCGGGCACGCGUGGGAGAGCGGCCAGCCGGGCUGGGGCGGCGCGGGACCUCCAGGACCCCCCCCCACCGUCUCAUAUAUAUAACUUUGUUGUUGUUGUUGUUAAUUCAAUUUCACACCCAGCUGCACCUGCAAACGUAACACCCACCCCUCGUUCCAAUCCUCCAUCCAUCCUUCCGUCCUUCCGUCCACCUCUCCAUCCAUCCACCACCCCGGAGCCGCACCCCACGCUGGCCGCGGUUCUUCUCCAUCCUCCCGUCCCGAUUCGCAUCCCUGCGCCUGCCGCCCUUUCACUUAGGGCCGGGUUCUGUGCCUCUCUGGGCGUCGCGUCCCCCCUUGGUUCUCCAUAUCCCCCACCCUGGGGGGAAACCACCCCAUUCUCCUGGCCCUCCCCGUCUCAGAACCGUCGCAGUUUCCACGCGUUGCGAUUUAAUAGGAAAUAAACAUCAAACCCAUCGGCCCGGCCGGGGCUGCGGGAAAACUCGGGGCACUCUAUUUUAUUAUUUUUUCUUGCUUAUUUUUAUCCUUCCCCCAUUAAAAAGAAAUAGGGAAGAGAUUCCUCUCGCCCAGAGCCACCCCCCCUCCCCCGGGUUCCGUCAGAGAGGGGAAAUAUUUCGCUGAGAGACGACCGCAGCGAGAGAGCAAAAAAAUAAACCCCAAUCCGCUCCCGCCGACACCCAAAGCCCCGUUUUUAGCUGUCCCGUAAAUAAGGAGCCGGCAGACUCUGCAUCAUCCUUCGCUAUUUACUCUUUUGAAGGUUAGGCAGGGCAGAGGUAACAAACUUUUGAACGAUUUUCCUCCUCCCCUUUUCCAUCCUCUUCCCUACCUGGUUUUAUGUGGUUUCUGGAUUAAUCUAGUGUGGAGCAGAAGCGGACUUUCCCCGGCCGAAAUAUAGGAUUAGGACUAUUUCUAGAAGAAAGAGGAUAGUGUCAACUGCCUUUAGCCUGCAAUAGUCUAAAGCAGAAUUACAGCUUGUAAAAUAGGUCUCCAUCAGUUUCCCAGGAGACGAGUUAAGCCCUACUUGGGUGUUCCAGCUCUUUUUAGAACCAGCAAUAAUUAGACUCAUCUCACCCUGAGCUGUCCGGUUUUUUUAGGAUCCCCACCGACCGCUUUUGCAUACAAUCCUGCCGGGGCCGCCUGCCCGCACCGCUCGGCAGCAGAAACCUUCGGGGCGGUUCGGGGCAGGAGACGUCCCUUUGGCAAGCGGGGCAGCGCGGCUCUCCUGCCCGACGUGCCAUUCCCUUGCGCUUUGAUGUCCGCUGCCUUUGAGCCAUCUCUGCAUGUCAUUAGGGGCCCGGACAAUUAAAGAAGUGCCUUCGCACCCCCCCUCUCCCAACCCCUCCCCGCAGCGGAGGGGAAGUCGGAAAAAAAUAAAUACAUCGGCCAACACGGCGAGCCGAUGCGGGGCUGAGUUCGCCUUCGGAUCGCGGCCGUGAGAUGGGAAAGUCGCCCGCAGGGGAGCGGGAGGAGCCGCGACGGUGACAGCGACAGUGACUGCCGGUCCGGCCGCUCGCCGCCGGCUUUGGUGGCGGAUUGGGUGGGGAGUCCUUCUGCCGCCCGGGUACGCGGCUCCGUCCUCGGGGCGGUCGGAUGCCGCUCGGUCUCCCCGAAAGUCAAAUAAUAAAAAAAAAAAAAAUAGAAAUUUAAAAUAAUAAUAAUAAUUAAAAAAUCGAUCUGUGGGAAUGAAGGGCGGAAGCGGAGCUUAACGCGCUGCUCUUUCUGAGGGGCUGGUAGAGGGGAAAUGCGGCUGGGAGGGUUCGGAGGAGGCUGGGGAUGCUCGGGUGUAGAAAUAGGCUAUCUAUCUAUCUACCUGUAUCUAUUAAUAGCGAUACCAUACAAAUAACGAGUAGAGGAAGGUCGCGGAGUGCAGCCCCGCUCCCGCCGGGCUGGGGCUGCCCGUGGCCGGGAGGUGAGCCUCUCCCGGGCCGUUCCCACGCGUGUCCCCUCCCCGCACGGCGACACGAGUUCGGUGGCAGGUCAUUGGCGAGUGCUGUCCCCGAGAGCCCGUCACUGCCGGGCACCCGCUCGGUCGGAAGCAGGGACCUGGCACGGGGACGGGGACACGCGUGCACAACCCGCCCCCGGUCUCCGUGGGCCUCGAGAGACGUCUCCUUCCCGAGUCCCCGCGUGUGCGAUGCCACUCGUGUUCGUGCCCAGCGGCCGAGCCCCGGCCCCGUUAAACGCUCGUUUUCCUCUUUUUCACCGUGUUGCCAACGAGAAAAUGAGGAUGGGGUCUUUUUCCCUCCUGUUCUUGCCCACGCGGGGACGGGGCACUGCCUGUGGUACCGGCAGCGGCGCUUCCCCGUGACACGGACACGGGAGAAAUGCCGCUCGGAGAGAGGAACGAAAAAGCGCCGCGGAGCCGGGGAGGACAACGGAAUAACGCGCAAAAAGAGGGGGGAAACAAAAAAAGGAAAGGAAAACAAACAAACAAACAACAACAAAAUAAAGGAAAGAAAAGCAGGAAGAAGCGCGCGGCUCCUGGGGCAGCGGCGAGGCGCGGCGAGUCGGCUACCGCGCAGCCCCGUUCCUUCUCCGACGGCCCCACAACGACUCGAGCCCUCGGCAACGAGCUGUGGGGCUGCGGCCAGCCGC
ensembl:lncRNA